GCGAGGGUGGCAGAGCCUGGCCAAAUGCGCUAGCUUGAGGGGCUAGUCCCGAAGGGGUGCGCAGGUUCGAAUCCUGCCUCUCGCA
rnacentral:tRNA from 1 species